UUUAUUAAAAUGACGUCGUCUAGGUCCAUCUUUAAUCCCAUCCAAAGUCCCAUUGAUUUCUCAUUGUCGAGGUGCGUGCCCCACUUGUUCCAUUUACCAAUUUUGUUCCCUCCCACAGUACAUAGGUCACUCAUGACGCACGUGACUUAAAUGCUUUGUUAAAACGCGACUCUUCUCCUCUCAUCCUUCGCCAUGCGGAACAUAAUUCUAAUGCCAGCUUGUCAGAAGCGUUUCUUUAGUACCGAAACUGCCCCUGGUUCCCCGCUCAAAAGCGGACGAUUGCAAUCUUAAGCGGUACUUUGUACAAAUAUUCCCAAAUAAAAUUAUUAUUAUUUUUGGCAGCAGAUUGUACCCCCAGAUACAGUAUAUGUAUAAAGAGAGGCAUGUGCAUAAAGACAAUACGAGAUUAUCUCUCUCGAACUUUCAUUGUAAGCUGCUUGUUGGCUUUUGAUUUUGCUUCCAAAGGUAAAGCCACAGCAUAAGUUCAUUUUAUGCUUUGAUUCAGAACUAUACAUAUCUUUCAGCGCCUUCUCAGUCGUUUUCAGGUUGAUAUAGCUGUUGUUUCUUUGCCUGAUCUUGUGCAGACUCUUUCAUCUGGGAAAGUGAUUCUUGUGGCCAAUUAUUGGUACGUUUUGGAAAGUAAUUUUAUAGAUCAUCGUGUAAGCAUUCAUAUAUACAAUGGCGGAUUCUGAGGCAACCUUUUCGAGCUCACCAGCUGUGGAAAAAUUAGGCUCUAGCGAUCUCUUGUCAGUAGGGAAAGGCUAUGGAACAUAUGGCAUUGUGGGUGCUACUGUUAUUGCCAUUGUUUUACCUGUAUUGCUUUCCAUUGUGUUCAUGGGGAAGAAAAAGGUGAAGCAAAGAGGAGUUCCUGUAGAAGUUGGUGGUGAGGCAGGUUAUGCAAUUCGCAAUGGUCGAAUGCCUCAUUUGAUUGAAGUCCCUUGGGAAGGGGCAAAUACCAUGGCAGCUCUUUUUGAGCAAUCUUGCAAAAAGUAUUCACGAGGUCGAUUUCUUGGAACAAGGAAGCUAAUUAGCAAGGAAUUUAUCACAGCUAGUGAUGGUAGGAAGUUUGAGAAACUACACUUAGGGGAUUAUGAAUGGCAAACUUUUGGACAAGUUUUUGAUCGUGCUUGCAACUUUGCUUCCGGGCUUAUUAGGUUAGGUCAUAAUGAAGAUACUCGUGCUGCAAUUUUUUCUGAAACUCGAGCAGAGUGGUUCAUUGCCUUCCAGGGAUGCAUGCGGCAGAAUAUUACUGUUGUUACUAUUUAUGCAUCUCUUGGUGAGGAUGCUCUGAUCCAUUCACUCAACGAGACACAAGUAUCAACCCUGAUUUGUGAUUCCAAGCAAUUGAAAAAGUUGGCUGCUAUAAGCACAAAAAUAACAACUAUCAAGAAUGUGAUUUACUUUGAAGAUGAUGGAAGUGCAACUGCAGAUGAUUCUAGUAUCUCUGGAAGUACGAGCCACUGGACAGUUUCAUCUUUUUCCGAAGUUGAGAAACUGGGCAAAAACAGUCCUCUUCCUCCAAACCUACCUUCCAAGAAUGGAAUUGCUCUUAUCAUGUAUACAAGUGGUAGCACAGGCCUACCAAAGGGAGUCAUGAUUGCUCAUAGCAACAUUGUAGCCACUGCUGCAGCUGUCAUGACAUUGAUUCCAAAAUUGGGUAGCAAUGAUGUUUAUUUGGCAUACUUGCCCCUAGCUCAUGUUCUCGAACUUGCUGCUGAGUCUAUAAUGUUAACUGCAGGUUGUGCAAUUGGCUAUGGUUCUGCAUUGACUUUAACAGACACGGCUAAUAAAAUUAAGAAAGGAACCAAAGGUGAUACUUCUGUGUUGAAGCCCACUCUCAUGGCAGCAGUUCCCACUAUACUAGAUCGUGUUCGGGAUGGAGUUCUAAAAAAGGUUGAGGAGAAAGGUGGAAUUACAAAGAAGCUUUUCAACAGUGUAUAUAAGCGACGAUUGGCAGCCAUAGAAGGAAGCUGGUUUGGUGCUUGGGGACUGGAGAGAAUGUUGUGGGAUUUUAUUGUCUUCAAAUCAAUACGUGAUGUACUUGGAGGAUCCAUACGAUUUAUGUUAUGUGGUGGAGCUCCUUUAUCUGGGGAAUCACAACGAUUCAUCAACAUUUGCAUGGGGGCUCGCAUAGUUCAGGGUUAUGGCUUGACAGAAACAUGUGCUGGGGCUGCUUUUUCUGAGUGGGAUGAUACUUCUGUGGGCCGUGUUGGACCUCCUCUUCCUUGUUGCUAUAUUAAGCUUGUUUCUUGGGAAGAAGGUGGGUAUAGGAUAUCCGACAAGCCAAUGCCCCAAGGAGAAAUUGUAAUUGGAGGAUUCUGCGUAACUAGUGGUUACUUCAACAACCAAGAAAAGACUGAUGAGGUCUACAAGGUUGAUGAAAAAGGCAUGUGCUGGUUUUAUACUGGUGAUAUUGGACGUUUUCACCCUGACGGAUGCCUUGAAAUUGUUGAUAGGAAGAAGGAUAUUGUCAAACUUCAACAUGGAGAGUACAUCUCUCUUGGAAAGGUUGAGGCAGCGUUGAUGUCAAGCAACUAUGUGGAUAAUAUCAUGGUAUAUGCAGAUUCCUUCAAAAACUAUUGUGUAGCUCUAGUUGUUCCAUCACAUCAAGCCCUUGAGAAAUGGAGCCAGCAAGUUGGCAUCAAGUACCAGAACUUUGCAGAGCUCUGUAACAAAGAUGAAACUAUUGCUGAGGUUCGACAGUCACUGUCCAAGGUUAGUCUGUUUUUUGCUUGUCUACUGGAAGGUUAUAGGAAAACAGUAUUGAUUAGUUAGAACUGCUGAAGACAUAUUUAAGGGCUAUUACUAUUAUUGCAUGCAUAUACAAAAAUCCACUUGCGGCUGCUCGGGUUUUUCCAUCGGUUAGAUUUCUUUUGUUUUUGUGACCACUGCUCUGUGUUCCCCCAGUAAUUAUAUGGCUUCAAUUCUACUUGCUUUGUCACACUCCAUUUACUAAAUGUUGCCUGAUCUAAAUUCUGGGAUGGGAGCGUCCAUUUGUUGGCAUUAUCUGAAAACUUCAUUUAUUUGUGCAUUUCUCUGUGUUAGCAUACAUCUUGAUCAUUUCCUUGGGUGACGUGCAAAGUUAAAAGAUUCUUAUGUAGGUUGAAAUAUGUUGGGCAAGCCUGUUAGUAGCAAGACUUAAAAAUGAAUAGAUUCUGCACUGCAUAUCUGAAAGCAUUCUUUGCCUGCAGGUGGGGAAAGCUGCAAAAUUGGACAAAUUUGAAAUUCCUGAAAAGAUCAAGCUGUUGCCAGAUCCAUGGACACCUGAAUCUGGCUUGGUUACUGCUGCUCUCAAGAUAAAGAGGGAACAACUGAAGUCCAAAUUUAAAGAGGAGCUCCAAAAGCUCUAUGACUGAAGUGAUGUUUUGU
rnacentral:misc_RNA from 1 species